UUCAUCAAGAGUAACGGAGGGACUGGCCCGAUGAUGUUACGGCAACCAUCACUUUGUGAACGGUGCUAAGUCCAUCAGGUGCAGCCUGAAAGAUGAA
rnacentral:ncRNA from 1 species